rnacentral:rRNA from 1 species
UACAGAGGGUGCGAGCGUUGUCCGGAAUCACUGGGCGUAAAGGGCGCGUAGGCGGUCCGGUAAGCGUGUGGUGAAAGCUCGGGGCUCAACCCCGAGUCGGCCAUGCGAACUGCGGGACUGGAGCAUGUCAGAGGCAGGCGGAAUUCCGGGUGUAGCGGUGGAAUGCGUAGAUAUCUGGAGGAACACCGGUGGCGAAGGCGGCAUCCUGGACCGACACUGACGCUGAGGAGCGAAAGCCAGGGGAGCAAACGGG